rnacentral:rRNA from 1 species
GACGAACGCUGGCGGCGCGCUUAACACAUGCAAGUCGAACGGAAAGGCCUGCUUUCCCUUGUGGAUUGCGGGUACUCGAGUGGCGAACGGGUGAGUAACACGUGAGUGAUCUGCCCCCAACUUGGGUAUAAGCCUGGGAAACUGGGUCUAAUUCCCGAUAGGACUGCAGGGUGGUGCCUGUGGUGGAAAACGAUUUUCUAGUGGUUGGGGAUGAGCUCGCGGCCUAUCAGCUUGUUGGUGGGGUAAUGGCCUACCAAGGCGGCGACGGGUAGCCGGCCUGAGAGGGUGGACGGCCACAUUGGGACUGAGAUACGGCCCAGACUCCUACGGGAGGCAGCAGUGGGGAAGAUGGGACAAUGGGCGGAAGCCUGAUGCAGCGACGCCGCGUGGGGGAUGACGGCCUUCGGGUGGUAAACUCCUUUCGACCGCGAGGAAGCCACCUGGUUGGAAGGGUGGUGACGGUAGUGGUAGAAGAAGCACCGGCUAACUACGUG